GCACUGCAAGGUUGGGUGACCUGGAGGGUUGGAUGCGCCAGAGGAGGUUGGGUAACCUGACCUGGAGGAAUUCAGGUGUGUGAAGACUUCCUGUGUCCUGCAUAACUUCAUGAGGAUGGACACAAGGGGAUCUGUAGCUCGCUGCCGUGCGCCAGAGGAGAAGUCUGCUGUUCUGCAGGAUGUUUCAAGGAUGGGGUCCAACCAUGCAGCAAGAGAGGCAAUCCGUGUGCGGGAGCUCUUCACCUCCUACUUCUUCGAAGAGGGCGCUGUUUCCUGGCAACACCAUAGACUACACCAUGCACAGCCAAAGGCUCUUUUUAGAGCCAUUCACAUUGCAAUGAGCUCAGGUGUAUAACUGUGGCUCCUUCCACCUUCAAAGAAUCGGCAAGAGGGCCAACCAUGGAGAAUAAUAUGUUUUGAUGAGUGGGAGGAUGCCAACCCCCAGUCCCAUCAUCACCACCUCACCCGCUCUUAAGAUAACCUUCGGGCCGACUAGAGACACUUGUGUAAUUGUGAUGAACUGAGAGAAUAUUUGGGUAGCACUGAUUCAUUAAUCAUGUGCUGCCUUCCCUGCUCCUAUGUUCUUACCUCUUUCCCUUUGUCUUUUACACCUCUCGCCGCCUCUUUCUUCCUCUGUUUUUAUGAUCC
rnacentral:lncRNA from 1 species